GGAGAGAUGGCUGAGUGGUUUAAGGCGCAUGCUUGGAAAGUAUGUGUAUUGUUAAAAGUACCGUGGGUUCGAAUCCCACUCUCUCCGCCA
rnacentral:tRNA from 1 species